UACGGAGGAGGCAAGCGUUAUCCGGAAUUAUUGGGCGUAAAGCGUCCGUAGGUGGCCCUUCAAGUCUGCGGUCAAAGACCGGGGCUUAACCCUGGAAAGGCCGUGGAAACUGAAGUGCUAGAGUGCAGUAGGGGUAGAGGGAAUUCCCGGUGUAGCGGUGAAAUGCGUAGAGCUCGGGAAGAACAUCGGUGGCGAAAGCGCUCUACUGGACUGCAACUGACACUGAGGGACGAAAGCUAGGGGAGCGAAUGGG
rnacentral:rRNA from 1 species